rnacentral:tRNA from 1 species
GCUUUCAUAGCUUAGUUGGUUAGAGCACCACUUUAGUAAGUGGGAGGUCUUGAGUUCAAAUCUCAAUGAAAGCA